UACAGGGGGUGCAAACGUUGCUCGGAAUCAUUGGGCGUAAAGCGCACGUAGGCGGUUCGUUAUGUCGGAUGUGAAAGCCCUUGGCUUAACCGAGGAAGCGCAUCCGAAACUGGCGAGCUAGAGUACGAAAGAGGAUCGCGGAAUUCCCGGUGUAGAGGUGAAAUGCGCAGAUAUCAGGAAGAACACCCGUGGCUAAGGCGGCUCUCUAGUACGGUACUGACGCUGAGACGCGAAAGCAUGGGGAGCGAACAGG
rnacentral:rRNA from 1 species